rnacentral:misc_RNA from 1 species
GAUGAAGAACGUAGUGAAAUGCGAUAACUAAUGUGAAUUGCAGAAUUCAGUGAAUCAUCGAGUCUUUGAACGCACAUUGCGCCCCCUGGUAUUCCGGGGGGCAUGCCUGUCCGAGCGUCAUUGCUGCCCUCAAGCACGGCUUGUGUGUUGGGCUCCGUCCCCCCGGGGACGGGCCCGAAAGGCAGCGGCGGCACCGAGUCCGGUCCUCGAGCGUAUGGGGCUUUGUCACCCGCUCUGUAGGCCCGGCCGGCGCCAGCCGACAACCCAUCAUCCUUUUCAGGUUGACCUCGGAUCAGGUAGGGAUACCCGCUGAACUUAAGCAUAUCAAAAGCGGAGGA